UACGGAGGGUGCUAGCGUUGUUCGGAAUUACUGGGCGUAAAGGGCGCGUAGGCGGCCGUUUGCGUCGGAUGUGAAAGCCCGGGGCUCAACCUCGGAACGGCAUUCGAUACGGGACGGCUGGAGACCGGGAGAGGAGAGUGGAAUAGCCAGUGUAGAGGUGAAAUUCGUAGAUAUUGGCUGGAACACCGGUGGCGAAAGCGGCUCUC
rnacentral:rRNA from 1 species